rnacentral:antisense_RNA from 1 species
CUUGAUGGAGCCCAGCCACAGAGGCCGGCCCUCCGGCCUGUCCUGGCCGUAGGUGGCCAGCAACGCCUGCGCCUC